rnacentral:rRNA from 1 species
AGGAUCAUUCGCAAUGGGGGAAACCCUGACGAUGCGACGCUGCGUGGAGGAUGAAGGCCUUCGCGUUGUAAACUCCUGUCAUGCUGGAAAAGGAGAGGGGACCCAACACGUCCCUUAUUUGAUGGAACAUCAAGAGGAAGAGACGGCUAACUCUGUGCAAGCAGCCGCGGUAAUACAGAGGUCUCGAGCGUUGUUCGGAUUUACUGGGCGUAAAGGGCGCGUAGGCGGCGCGGCGUGUCGAGUGUGAAAUCUCCGGGCUCAACCCGGAAAGUGCGCUUGAAACUGCCGUGCUCGAGUGCGGGAGAGGGAAUCGGAAUACAGGGUGUAGCGGUGAAAUGCGUUGAUAUCCUGUAGAACACCGGAUGCGAAGGCGGAUUCCUGGAACGCAACUGACGCUGAGGCGCGAAAGUCGGGGGAGCAAACA